CAGACUACAGGGUGAUUAUUCAAGUAAAUAUUUAUGCCUUUAUGGUAUAUAAGUUGAUAAUAUAUUCCAGAGUUAAACUAAUGGCCUGCAUCCUAAAAAUGAUCAUUAAUUAGAUAAAUACACGGGAAUCAAUAAAUAUACAAAAGCGAAUGUCAUUCAAUAAUUGGCUUACCCAAUGUACUAGCCUGGGCAAGUUAAUAAUCAUUUUUUAACAGAGUUAA